rnacentral:rRNA from 1 species
AUGGGCGAAAGCCUGACGGAGCAAUACCGCGUGAGGGAAGAAGGUCCUUGGAUCGUGGACCUCUUCGCUCAGGGAAGAAGUUCUGACGGUACCUGAGGAAUAAUGCCUCAGGCUAACUCCGUGCCAUGAGCCGCGGCAAUACGGAGGAGGCAAGCGUCAUCCGGAAUUAUUGGGCGUAAAGCGUUCGCAGGUGGCUGCUCAAUGUCUGCUGUCUAAAGACCGGAGCUUAACUCCGGAAAGGCGGUGGAAACUGAAGAGCUAGAGUGCGGUAGGGGUAGAGGGAACUCCCAGUGUAGCGGUGAAAUGCGUAGAGAUUGGCGAAGAACACCGGUGGCGAAAGCGCUCUACUAGUCCGCACCUGACACUCAGGGACGAAAGCUAGGGGAGCGAAUGGGAUUAGAUACCCCAGUAGUCCUAGCUGUAAACGAUGGGUACUAGGCGUAACUUGUAUCGACCCGAGCUGUGCCGAAGCUAACGCGUUAAGUACCCCGCCUGGGGAGUACGCACGCAAGUGUGAAACUCAAAGGAAUCGACGGGGGCCCGCACAACCGAUGGAGUAUGUGGUCUAAUUCGAUGCAACGCGAAGAACCUUACCAGGGCUUGACAUCCGGCGAAUUCUCUGGAUACAGAGAAGUGCCUACGGGAGCGCCGUGACAGCUGGUGCAUGACUGUCGUCAGCUCGCUCUCGUGAGAUGCAUGGGUUAAGUCCCGCAACGAGCGCAACCCUCGUCCUUAGUUGCCAGCAUUAAGUCGGGCACUUUAGGGAGACUGCCGGUGACACACCGGAGGAAG